UACGUAGGGUCCGAGCGUUGUCCGGAAUUACUGGGCGUAAAGAGCUCGUAGGUGGUUUGUCGCGUUGUUCGUGAAAACUCACAGCUUAACUGUGGGCGUGCGGGCGAUACGGGCAGACUGGAGUACUGCAGGGGAGACUGGAAGUUCCUGGUGUAGCGGUGGAAUGCGCAGAUAUCAGGAGGAACACCGAUGGCGAAGGCAGAUCUCUGGGCCGUAACUGACGCUGGAGGAGCGGAAAAGCAUGGGGAGCGAACAGG
rnacentral:rRNA from 1 species